rnacentral:rRNA from 1 species
GAUGUGGGAAGGCACAGACAGCCAGGAUGUUGGCUUAGAAGCAGCCAUCAUUUAAAGAAAGCGUAAUAGCUCACUGGUCGAGUCGGCCUGCGCGGAAGAGGUAACGGGGCUAAACCAUGCACCGAAGCUGCGGCAGCGACACUAUGUGUUGUUGGGUAGGGGAGCGUUCUGUAAGCCUGCGAAGGUGUGCUGGGAGGCAUGCUGGAGGUAUCAGAAGUGCGAGUGCUGACAUAAGUAACGAUAAAGCGGGUGAAAAGCCCGCUCGCCGGAAGACCAAGGGUUCCUGUCCAACGUUAAUCGGGGCAGGGUGAGUCGACCCCUA